rnacentral:rRNA from 1 species
AGCCUACGGGACGCAGCAGUCGGGAAUAUUGCGCAAUGGAGGGAACUCUGACGCAGUGACGCCGCGUAUGGGAAGAAGGUCUUCGGAUUGUAAACCAUUUUAGACAGGGAAGAGGAAGGACAGUACCUGUAGAAUAAGCUCCGGCUAACUACGUGCCAGCAGCCGCGGUAAUACGUAGGGAGCAAGCGUUAUCCGGAUUUAUUGGGUGUAAAGGGUGCGUAGACGGGAAAUUAAGUUAGUUGUGAAAUCCCUCGGCUCAACUGAGGAACUGCAACUAAAACUGAUUUUCUUGAGUGCAGGAGAGG